GGGUAGAAAGAUGUAAAUAGGGUUUAGCCAUAAACUUCUGGUUUAGGACUGAUUCCCCCUUGAGCCUUGAGUUGGCCUUGGCAACAAGGUGCUUCUAGAAGAAAAAUGGAGUCCAGAUACAACAAAAAAGCCAGUCCCUCACUCUGUAAAUUGGAAAUGGAAAUAGUUAUGGCCUUAUGGGAAUAGCACCUAAAGCAGCCAUAAACGAAAUCCUAUCCCAUGAAUAACAAGUUUAAGAGUAAAGGGGAAAAGGGGAAACUUGAAAAUGCCAAGCAAUGGGGCUUUAAGGGAUCUUAGCUUAUUUUGUUGCGAUGACAGGUUUCUUUCACUCCUGGAGGCAUACCUCAGUCAGCUGCAGAAAUAUGAGGGAGUUAGGUUGGUAUGUGAGGAUAUCACUGGAGGUCAGGAACAUGCACCAAUUCCUGCUACGAAUUUGGUUGAUGACCCUUUUUCCACCCACAGGCAAGUUGAAUUGGGGGUUUGCAAUUUGAAUCCCCUAUUUUAUUGUUGAGAGUAAAUUCUAGCCAUUUCUAGCCGUGGACUCUCAUAAGGAGGGAGGAGCUUAAGUUCUGGCCUCUUGCUUCCCACAACUCACAUAGCUUGUAGAUAUAAAGGAACCUUAGGAAAGAAGUUUGGUGGAAUUAAACUACUUUAAAAAUAAACUCUAUUAUACUUGACUAAAUAACAAGGACCAGGAGACUUUACUGAUUUUUACCUCUUUCGGUUAGACUAGUCAAAUGAGAGUUUGAAAAGCUCACUAAUAUUUUACUUGUGUACUCUAUUUUGGUGGUAGUUGAUCAACCAUAGUCACUAGUGCAAAAGAUAAACAUCAUGGCCAAAGUUCAUAUGGGUGCCUCUAUCUAGAACCAUCUAUCCCUGCUGAUAGCUUCCAGAAGACAGGAACACAUCAUUCAACCUUCAAAAAAAUUACUGGAUGAUGCUAGAAUGUUGUCUGAUAUUCAGAAGUUCUACAAUGUGAAUGUACAGGAGCUUCCACCAAAUGUUGCUGAUUUUCUCUGAUGAAUUAAUUUUGUGUUCUAUGUCAACAAGUCAUUAGGCCUUUUUGUUUUUGACAAGUAGUAUCUUAUGAUCUCUUUUUUUUUUUUUUUUUACCACAUUGGAGAUUAAAGGACGUCUGAUAUGAUGCCAUUUGUAAUGGAUUCUAUAUAUUUUGUUUGAUUAAUU